rnacentral:tRNA from 2 species
AGGAUAAUAGUUAAAAUUUAUAACAUUUAAUUUGCUUUUAAAAAUUAUUAUAUAAUUUAUCUUA